rnacentral:rRNA from 1 species
CUCCGGUUGAUCCCGCCGGACCUGACUGCUAUCGGAUUGGUACUAAGCCAUGCGAGUCGUUGUAGCAAUACAAGGCGGACGGCUCAGUAACACGUAGUCAACCUAACCUAUGGACGUGGAUAACCUCGGGAAACUGAGAAUAAACCGCGAUAGAUCAUUAUGCCUGGAAUGGCUUAUGGUUCAAACAAUUUAUUGCCGUAGGAUGGGACUGCGGCCUAUCAGCUUGUUGGUGAGGUAAUGGCCCACCAAGGCUAUAACAGGUACGGGCUCUGAGAGGAGAAGCCCGGAGAUGGGUACUGAGACACGGACCCAGGCCCUAUGGGGCGCAGCAGGCGAGAAACCUUAGCAAUGUGCGAAAGCACGACUGGGUCAGUCCGAGUGAUUCCUGAUAAAGGAGUCUUUUAUCUGUCCUAAAAGCACAGGUGAAUAAGGGGUGGGCAAGUCUGGUGUCAGCCGCCGCGGUAAUACCAGCACCUCGAGUGGUCAGGACGUUUAUUGGGCCUAAAGCAUCCGUAGCCGGCUUUGCAAGUCUCCGGUUAAAUCCACCUGCUCAACAGAUGGGCUGCUGGAGAUACUACAAAGCUAGGGAGUGGGGGAGGCAGACGGUAUUCAGUGGGUAGGGGUAAAAUCCUCUGAUCCAUCGAGGACCACCAGUGGCGAAGGCGGUCUGCCAGAACACGUUCGACGGUGAGGGAUGAAAGCUGGGGGAGCAAACCGGAUUAGAUACCCGGGUAGUCCCAGCUGUAAACGAUGCAAACUCGGUGAUGCAUUGGCUUAUGGCCAAUGCAGUGCCGCAGGGAAGCCGUUAAGUUUGCCGCCUGGGAAGUACGGACGCAAGUCUGAAACUUAAAGGAAUUGGCGGGGGAGCA